rnacentral:antisense_RNA from 1 species
CCCGGGGCUGCCCAGGGCUGCGGGCUCCAGGCACCCAGAGCGCUGCGACCACAUGAAAGGCCCGGCGCUCAGCACCCGCCAGCCACCUCCAGCUGGUUUCUAACUACACCGCCGGGGCCUCCAUGCUUCUCAGGGACCAGCCUUCGAAGUGCCGCCUUACACCCGGGGCCUGGCCACCGGGCGGGCGCGGAUGGAGCUCUGGUCCACAUUUGGGAGCUCACAGUUGUUCCUGCCAGGAACCAGCCAGAACAGGAGGCAGCCAGGGAGAGGGGAGCCAGGGAGAACGCAGCCUCAGUCCUGGAAGGAGAGGGCCUGCUGGGAAGAACAGAACCCAGCUGUCUUGGCCCCAGAUGUGGAAGCCGAGACUUAAAGAAGCUAUGAAACUUGAUCAGGUCAUGCAGCGCCAGAGGACCCAAGGUGGGAUCUCAACCCAGACUGUUUGGCUCCAAAGCUGAACUGCUACAUUAUGUUGCUUCAGCAAACAGUCAUUCAGAGACAAUGGGCUUUAGAGGAGUUUAUUGAUGUUACUAACAAACAUAAGUACCUUGUACUAACCUCCUGGUGCCCAAGUGUUUGAGGUGAGAAAAACGGAAACAUGAAAAGCCCAGAGAGGUAAAGUGACUGGCUCAAGCAAAUACAGGCUCCAGCUGCAGCCACUUUGAAGAUAAAGUUUCCUCCAUAGAAAUUCUGCAAUACAGAUGUCCUUCCGCGGUCCCCGUUCAGUCCUGCACCAGUUCCUUUUCCCACUGGGAAAUUUCUUUCCUCUUCCUACUUCCAUGCAACUGCGAGGCAAGGCUCAAGCCCACUUCCUUCUCCUUUUCCUGUGUCUCCCUGUGGAAGGAGCUCCCUCUUCUUC